rnacentral:lncRNA from 1 species
AGACAUUUGAAACAUCCAACAUUAUGAGAAAGACUGGAUUAUUCCUUGUAGUUGUGGUUCUUCUUGCAGGUUAGUUCGAACUGACCUUAUAAAAAGUAGUAUUUCUGGUUGUGACAUACACUAAGGUAGCAUUCCACAGUUAUGUCUGUAGUUUCGCAUUUUAGAUAUUGGAUUUUUCUAAUAUGAAAGCUAGUCUGCAAUAAAAUUAAUUAUUCAUUUUUGGAUAACUGAAGAUUAAUAUAGCCUUGAAUAUCAAGAUUGUGCAAUGUAUUUUACCCAACUUUUUGUUGCACGAAUUUUGAGAUACAAUUUUACGAAAACAAUGAGGCGAAAGAUAUCCAACUUUUAUUUGAUAUUUGAGUACUUAUAAAAGCAAGAUGUUGCCAUGGAUACAUACAAAAGGAUUAACAUUUCACCAAUUGGAAAAUAAAAUCUAUGGAAGACACUGACUACAAACCUAUGCACAUGUAUGACGAUCACACAGACAUUUGGCUUAAUGUAUUAGAAAGAAGGGCAGGAAUAGAAGACAAUAAAUCAUUCUCUGGUUCAAUUUUAAUUUUAUUUCCUAACUGUGUAUAUCUAACUUAGAAUGACCUUCACAUUGGCAUUUCCUGCAUUUCUUAUAAAACCUUGUUCAAUUCGUGUCCUUUGCAUAACUAUUGCAUCGUAAAACUUAGGCUAACCAAACUUAGUAUGCAGUUGCAUAAUGGCCUUCAGUUUUCGUAUACCAAAGUCAGAUCACCCCGACUUCAAUUACAUCAAUGUUUCAUUAUCAUUGGAACCCUUUCAAAAUGAUUGGAUCCGCGCCUAUACCCGGUUAUCACCUAAUUAAAUUUUCCCCUUGAAAUCUGUAGACAGCAUUAAAAUAUUAUUUAAUAAAGAAGACAAACAAUGGGUAUUUAUGAUUAAAACGGUUGACUCUACAUAUUCAAAUAAAAUAGAUAGGUUGUUAGCUACUUACGGCGAGUUCUCUUUUUUCGAAAAUUGAAAAAUAUGGGUGAAAGUUGAAAUAAAAUAAAAUAUUGGACACCAAACAAUUAAUGUUAGAUAUUCCCAUUUUAUAAUUGGAAAGACCUUGAAUACAACAAUUCAAUACUAAUUAGAUCAUUAAUGUUUCAUUUCAGUUGUGCAAGAAACAGUACAACAAUUUUGUUCUGAUAGGCACUGUAGUGGGAAUGGUAGAAAAACGCGUUGUCGUUGUGGAUGUCGUAACUGUUGUAUUGAUCGAUACGGUUGUAGGGGAGGAUUUUGCUUUGGCAGAUUUUGUAUCUGUUUCAAUUGUAGUAAGUUUUUUUUAAAUAUCAAGGUCAGAAAUCAGAAUAUUAUUUUAGGAAAACACCAUACCCCCCCCCCCCUUUUUUUUUAAAGUUAAAUGAAUCACCUUUUCAAUAUUAAAAAAAAGCGAAGGUGAAAACUCAUAUAUGUACACAUGAGCAUGAUAAGGGAAGUUAUCUAAAAAAAAAAUAAGACCAGAAAACUAUAACAAUAGUUGUAGGUCGCUCAAUAGAGCUUUCCCAAUGUUCUAAUGUAUCAGGCACAUUUGGUACGUAAUUACAAUUGUUGAUUUUGUUUUGUAGGUAUCUUUAAUACAUAGACAAUAACUGUUUAGUGUCUUUAAAUAUCAGCUGUAUUUGUACGAGGCUAGUAAACAAGGUGUAUGCGAGCUUUUAGCGAGCUACUACACUUGUUUCGAGCCGAGUACAAAUACAGCUUAUAUUUAAAGACACUAAACCGUUAUUGUCUUUAUCCUGCAAUUAAUUCUGUAUACUGUUUGUGUUUUGAAAGACACAAAAACUAACAUAUUUAGCAUUUAUUUUCGAUUUGUAAUCCCUUGAGGCCCCCGUAGUAAUAUCAUAAUCACACAUUACGCUGAAGACGGGUUUGCAAAAAAAGAAUCUCGAAUUUUCAACAUUAAUACAUCGCUCAAGGUGAAUAAUUAUCGAUUUUAACAUAACAACUAAUUUCAACAGUAAAAACAAAUAACAAAACAUUGUCAAAUUUGAAACAGAAAUGUACGAGUUGUCCUACGCUUCAGACUUGACAUUCACUAAACAUGCAUGCUGAAAUUGACAUGGUUGAUUUUGUAACACAUUCAUACACAUUCAAGUUUUGAAAUCGACAAUUGCCAUCGUCUUUGGAAUGCAACUGGAAUACACAUUCUGAGGUCACACAGGUUCAAACAAUACUCAGUCCAGAGUGGGCGGAGCUUUAAAGCGAUAUCUGUAUAGUAUACAGAUACAGCAUAGCGAUAUCUGUAGGGCUGUAUCUGUAUAGUAGGACACCCGGCAAUUGCAGGAUAAUUAUAGAUUAUUACAUGGCAUUUUCCAUAUGGCCCUGGUAUCAGCCCUAGACUCCCAUAUCAAGCCAGAGGGCUUUAGCCCGAGGGCUUGAUAUGGGUCGUGGGCUGAUACCAUGGACCAUUUGGAAAAUGACAUGUUAUAAUCUAUUUAUCACAUAUUUUCAAGCAGGAGAAAACAAAUAGCUUACAACAAAUUAUGUUUGAUAUUUCAUCAAAAAUCAAAAGAUAUUCAACGAAAAAAAUAAAUAAAUGUAUCAAUGUGAGUUAAAAAAAAAGUAUCACAGUAGGUUAACAACGUUUUGUGAAAAGUUUCAGAAAUAGUUAACAAUAAACAUAUUAAUUCUAAGAAUUGCAAAUAUUAAACGACUUUAAAGUGUUAAAUUACAAAUGUUAAAAAAUGCUUAGGAAGAAUCCUAUAUCGAUACUCAUUCCAGUGAGGCGUCAUAUAUUUUCUAAAUUCUUCAUGACGUCAAAAUUUUACGGGAACUUUUGUGAUUUCUACUUUUUUCUUCUACAGCACAUUUGUAAAUUUUUAAAUUUCUUUUCAUUGUGUUCAACUUGUUAACAAAUAGCCUUUGAUUGACAGAUUACCGGAAGUUAAACUCGGGGGCUUGAUAUGGAUUUCGAGGGCUGAUAUCGAUAUCGGCCCCGAGGGCUGAUAACCAACCUUGACUUCCAGCUAUUAUUGGCCAUGCAAAAACGUACAAAAUAUGUGAUAAAUUGGAUUAUUGUAUCCAUCAUGAUUAACUAUAAUAAAUCGAAUUGCAUAUCAGAAAAAAAAUUAAUUAACUUUUUAUUUGAUAACGAUUUCACUGUUGCUAGAACAAAUUUGUUUGGGAUUCUGUAUGAGAAAAAAAGGUAAAAUUCAUUGUAACAAAAAUACCAAACUCCAGGGGAAAUUCAAAACGGAAAGUCCUUUAUAAAAAUGAAAUGGGCAAAAUCAAAAGCUGAAACACAUUUAAAGAAUGGGAAACGCCUGUCAUUUAUUGGGUUUUAAUUCCCCGAGGGUGUCACCAGCCCAGUAGUCGGAACUUCUGUGCUGAUAUGCUUUGCAUCAUGGUGUCAGUUGAUAUACACGCCAUCUUGAAAUAAUUACAUAUUACAUAAAUAUUCAUUUUGAUUGGUUGCUUUAUGAUACAGGUGAGAUACAGCAACAGCUAUGAGAUAAACUUUGACAGACUUUUUCGCGUCAGGAUAUUCUACGGCAAUUUUCUAAGCGGCUUAGACAAUUAUAGUGCACCGUUAACUUACGAUUCAAAUAUGAUGUAAUGGUAUAGAAAAUCUUGCCGCUGAGUAACUCGUGACAACAACGUGCUACAUGUGAGAAAAAAAAGCCUGAAAAGAUUUUACCUAUUGCCGUCGACUCGCCAUAUUGGGAUCGUCGUAAUUCAAGUAACGAUUAUCAGUUUAACACAAUGUGACCUAGUAGCUGUCUAAACGUGACUGUUUUUCUGAAAAUUUUCGCUUUGACCUUUCAUCCAAAUUUGAGAAAAUCUCGACCACUCACGGUAGACAACGACGACAACAAUAUUUCGACGUGGUUGGUUCUCUUUCCAAUUAUAUCAAUUCUCCUCUUUCCAAUGAUAUAUAUUACAGUCGUGUGUUAUUCCAUUAAUCCAAACCGAUAAAUAUUGUUUACCGGGCACCCUACUAAUUUGGUAAUAUUUACGAAAAAAGAACUCAGACAAUAAUAUUAUUGUAGGUAAUAAUAUUUUUAAAUACGAUGAGUUUAUAUAUUUUGUUGAACUUUCCUUUACUUUAAUGUUUACUUUGAAUAAUUUUGAAGGAUGCGCGAAUGGAAAUUAUCAACGAAUGAGUUUUCUCUUUAACCUUUUAUAUCUUUCUAUCUAUUUCAACAGGAUCUCCAGGAUUCAUUGGGAAAAGAGGUGAUGCGAACUCAUCUUCAAAAAAAGGUUGAAAUGGUAAACUUUUAUUUCAAAGUACACAGAUGCAAAUUUUGAUGUGUUUUUUUUAACUUAAUAAAAGUUACAACAUUAGCA